CAGAAUUUUAUACUGUGCUAAGGUAGCAUAAUCACUUGUCUUUUAAUUAAAGAAUAGAAUGAACGGAAAAACGAAUUUUAAACCUGUUUCAUUAAUUUUUAAUAAAAUUACCAAAAAGUAAAAACACUUUUUUACAAAAAAAAGACGAUAAGACCCUAAAGAACUUCACUAAAGUUAAGCUGGGGCGGCUUAAUUAAAAAAAUCUUAUUUUAACACUUUUAAACCUUACUAAAUUUUCAACGUUACCUUAGGGAUAACAGCGUAAUUUAAUUUUUAAGCUCUUAUUCAAAAUUAAGAUUACGACCUCGAUGUUGAAUUAAAAAUCUAUUAAACGAAAAAAAUUAAUAAGAAAGUCUGUUCGACUUUUAAUUAUUUACAUGAUUUGAGUUCAGACCGGUGUAAACCAGGUCGGUUUCUAUCUUUUUUAAAUUUUUAUUAGUACGAAAGGACCAUAAAAUCUAUUU
rnacentral:rRNA from 1 species